GGCUGCGCGCUUCCCUGAUCGUGCGGGGCCCGAGCCUCUCCGCCGGCGCAGGCUCCCUCGCGCCAGCUCGCGGCCGGCGCCAUGUCGGCCGCCAUCGAGCGGGAGUUUGAUGAGUUGGACGCUCAGAAUCGCUGGCAGCAGCUGUACCUGGAAAUUCGCAGUGAGUCCCAUGACUAUCCUCAUAGAGUGGCCAAGUUUCCAGAAAACAGAAAUCGAAACAGAUACAGAGAUGUAAGCCCAUAUGAUCACAGUCGUGUUAAACUGCAAAAUGCUGAAAAUGAUUAUAUUAAUGCCAGCUUAGUUGACAUAGAAGAGGCGCAGAGGAGUUACAUCUUAACACAGGGUCCACUUCCUAAUACAGGUUGUCAUUUCUGGCUCAUGGUUUGGCAGCAAAAGACCAAAGCAGUUGUCAUGCUAAACCGAAUUGUGGAGAAAGAAUCGGUUAAAUGUGCACAGUACUGGCCAACAAAGGAUGACCGAGAGAUGCUGUUUAAGGAAACAGGCUUCAGUGUGAAGUUCCUGUCGGAAGAUGUGAAGUCCUAUUAUACAGUCCAUCUGCUGCAGUUAGGAAACACCAAUAGUGGUGAAACCAGAACAAUAUCUCACUUUCAUUAUACUACCUGGCCAGAUUUCGGAGUCCCUGAAUCACCAGCUUCAUUUCUCAAUUUCUUAUUUAAAGUGCGAGAGUCUGGCUCUUUGAAUCCUGAACACGGGCCUGCGGUGAUCCACUGUAGUGCCGGCAUCGGGCGGUCAGGCACCUUUUCUCUGGUGGACACUUGUCUUGUUCUGAUGGAAAAAGGAGACAAUAUUAAUAUUAAACAACUGUUACUGAAUAUGAGAAAAUACCGAAUGGGGCUGAUUCAGACACCAGAUCAACUCAGAUUUUCAUACAUGACUAUAAUAGAAGGAGCAAAGUUUAUAAAGGGAGAUUCAAGUAUACAGAAACGGUGGAAAGAACUUUCUAAGGAAGAUGUAUGUCCUGUUUUCGAUCAUUCAACAACCAAAAUAAUGACUGAAAAAUACAAUGGGAACAGGAUAGGCCUAGAAGAAGAAAAACUGACAAGUGACAGGUAUACAGGACUGUCCUCUAAAAUUCAAGAUACUCUGGAGGAAAACAGCGAGAGUGCUCUGCGCAAGCGCCUUCGGGAAGACAGGAAAGCCAGCACAGCUCAGAAGGUGCAGCAGAUGAAGCAGAGGCUGAACGAGACCGAACGAAAAAGGAAAAGGUGGUUAUAUUGGCAACCUAUUCUCACUAAGAUGGGGUUUGUGUCCGUCAUUUUGGUUGGCGCUUUUGUUGGCUGGACACUGUUUUUUCAGCAAAAUGCCCUAUAAAUAAUUAAUUUUGCCCCGCAAGCUUCGGCACUGGUAGCUGACAGUGUUGCAUGAAUCACAGGGGUUCAUCUGUUAGCAAACUCCUCAGACGCCAGACGGUGCAGUUGACUAGACACCCACAGAGAAUUGGGGUGUGCAGUCCCCUCAGCACCCCAAGGCGCUGCCCACACUGUACCCGCUCCCUAAAAUAAAGACUUGAAUGCUUCUUAAGAACUGGUACAUUUUCAACUGUAUUCAUACAUGUUAAGUGUAAUAUUUCACCUGACCAGACUGAGAAGUCCUUUAUCACGAGGAUUCGUUUUUGGAGGCUGUCUGGAUUUUAACCUGCACUUGAUAUAAGCAAUAAAUAUUGUGGUUUUAUGGACAUUAUUACUGGAAAGAAAAUGACCUUUAAGUAAUGCGUGUAAUGUAUAAUGUACUGUUCACAUGGGCAUCAACAUUUUAUAUUCUUAACCAUUGCAGGGUAAAUAUAUUUUAUAAGUACCUAUUUAAUCUUACUUUUAUAGUUAAAUGUACUUUUUAAAAGCUCAAUUUGAAAAAAUAUCUGUUACCACAAAAAAAAAUAAUAAAGUGUAUGUUGAUUCAAUUGUACUGGAUACAUUUUCCUGAAGAAAAGUUUGAUAUGAGCAGGUAGAACUCUGAAUAAGCAAUUUUUACUAUAUAUUUGCAUUUCUUUUAUGUUUUACAGUUUUCCCAAUUUUAAAAAGAAAAAGAAACAAAAAUUUUCUCUAAAAAUAUCUUUGAAGGAAAAUUCUCCUUACUGGCGUAGUCAGGCCAAGAUUGACAGACACCUAAAUAUUCAUGACUUGAGAAUGUUCUGCAGCUAUAAAUUUUGAACCAUUGAUGUGCAAAGCAAGACCUGAAGCCCACUCCGGAAACUUAGUGAGGCUUGAUAAGCCUGUAGAUUGCCUCACAUUUGUCUGUUUACAAAGUAAACCUUACAUCCAGGGAACGAAGAACACCACCAGCAGAAGACUUUGCAGAACACUUUCAUUUGAUGCAUUGUUAAGUUUUUUAAUGCGUGUGUGAAAUGUAGAGAGAUGUAAAAGAAAUGAAUUAGGAAAGACUACUUUGUAUUGUACUGCCAUUCCUACUGUAUUUUUAUACUUUUUGGCAGCAUUAAAUAUUUUUAUUAAAUAG